GAUGAACGCUGGCGGCGUGCCUAACACAUGCAAGUCGAGCGAUCUUCUUCGGAAGAGAGCGGCGGACGGGUGAGUAACGCGUGGGUAACCUGCCCUGUACACACGGAUAACAUACCGAAAGGUAUGCUAAUACGGGAUAAUAUGCUUUUAUCGCAUGGUAGAAGUAUCAAAGCUCCGGCGGUACAGGAUGGACCCGCGUCUGAUUAGCUAGUUGGUAAGGUAAUGGCUUACCAAGGCGACGAUCAGUAGCCGACCUGAGAGGGUGAUCGGCCACAUUGGAACUGAGACACGGUCCAAACUCCUACGGGAGGCAGCAGUGGGGAAUAUUGCACAAUGGGCGAAAGCCUGAUGCAGCAACGCCGCGUGAGCGAUGAAGGCCUUCGGGUCGUAAAGCUCUGUCCUCAAGGAAGAUAAUGACGGUACUUGAGGAGGAAGCCACGGCUAACUACGUGCCAGCCGCCGCCGUAA
rnacentral:rRNA from 1 species